rnacentral:rRNA from 1 species
UGGGGAAUUUUGCACAAUGGGGGAAACCCUGAUGCAGCGACGCCGCGUGAUUUAGAAGGCCUUCGGGUUGUAAAAAUCUUUUCUAUGGGAAGAAAAUGACAGUACCAUAGGAAUAAGGACCGGCUAAUUACGUGCCAGCAGCCGCGGUAAUACGUAAGGUCCGAGCGUUGUCCGGAAUCAUUGGGCGUAAAGGGUACGUAGGCGGGUAAGCAAGUUAGAAGUGAAAUCCUAUAGCUCAACUAUAGUAAGCUUUUAAAACUGCUCAUCUUGGGGUAUGGAAGGGAAAGUGGAAUUCCUAGUGUAGCGGUGAAAUGCGCAGAAAUUAGGAGGAAUACCGGUGGAGAAGGCGACUUUCUGGCCAUAACCUGACGCUGAGGUACGAAAGCGUGGGUAGCAAACAGG